UACGUAGGGGGCAAGCGUUGUCCGGAAUCAUUGGGCGUAAAGAGCGUGUAGGCGGCCCGAUAAGUCCGCUGUGAAAGUCCAGGGCUCAACCCUGGGAUGCCGGUGGAUACUGUCGGGCUCGAGUCCGGAAGAGGAGUGUGGAAUUCCUGGUGUAGCGGUGAAAUGCGUAGAUAUCGAGAGGAACACCUGCGGCGAAGGCGGGUUGCUGGGCUGACACUGACGCUGAUGCGCGAAAGCCAGGGGAGCGAACGGG
rnacentral:rRNA from 1 species